UUUGAUCCUGGCUCAGAACGAACGUUGGCGGCGUGGAUUAGGCUGCAAGUCGUACGAGAUGCCAGAGCUUGCUCUGGCUAUCUAGUGGCGAACGGGUGAGUAACGCGUGGGAAACCUGCCCUCGAGACGGGGAUAACACUUCCAACGACGUGCUAAUACCGGAUACGACCACAUUUCCGCAUGGCUGUGUGGUGAAAGAUGGCCUCUGCUUGCAAGCUAUCACUCGAGGAUGGUCCCGCGUCCCAUUAGCUAGUUGGUGAGGUAACGGCCCACCAAGGCGACGAUGGGUAGCUGGUCUGAGAGGAUGGUCAGCCACACUGGGACUGAGAUACGGCCCAGACUCCUACGGGAGGCAGCAGUCGAGAGGCUUCGGCAAUGGGGGAAACCCUGACCGAGCGACGCCGCGUGCGCGAUGAAGGCCUUCGGGUUGUAAAGCGCUGUCGUGCGGGAAGAAAGGUCCAGCGACAAACAGUCGCGGGGCUGUGACGGUACCGCAGAAGGAAGCUCCGGCCAACUCCGUGCCAGCAGCCGCGGUAAUACGGGGGGAGCGAACGUUGUUCGGAAUUACUGGGCGUAAAGGGCGCGCAGGCGGCCUCGUAAGUGGGAUGUGAAAGGUCCUGGCUCAACCAGGGACGUGCGUCCCAUACUGCGGGGCUUGAGUGCAGGAGAGGAUGGGGGAAUUCCCGGUGUAGCGGUGAAAUGCAUUGAUAUCGGGAGGAACACCAGUGGCGAAGGCGCCCAUCUGGUCUGCUACUGACGCUUAGGCGCGAAAGCUGGGGGAGCAAACAGGAUUAGAUACCCUGGUAGUCCCAGCCGUAAACGGUGAGCACUAGGUGUGGGGGGCAUCGACCCCUUCCGUGCCGCAGCUAACGCAUUAAGUGCUCCGCCUGGGGAGUACGACCGCAAGGUUGAAACUCAAAGGAAUUGAC
rnacentral:rRNA from 1 species